ACGGCAGCAUAGGAGCUUGCUCCUGAUGGCGAGUGGCGAACGGGUGAGUAAUAUAUCGGAACGUGCCCUAGAGUGGGGGAUAACUAGUCGAAAGACUAGCUAAUACCGCAUACGAUCUACGGAUGAAAGUGGGGGAUCGCAAGACCUCAUGCUCCUGGAGCGGCCGAUAUCUGAUUAGCUAGUUGGUGGGGUAAAAGCCUACCAAGGCAACGAUCAGUAGCUGGUCUGAGAGGACGACCAGCCACACUGGGACUGAGACACGGCCCAGACUCCUACGGGAGGCAGCAGUGGGGAAUUUUGGACAAUGGGGGCAACCCUGAUCCAGCAAUGCCGCGUGAGUGAAGAAGGCCUUCGGGUUGUAAAGCUCUUUUGUCAGGGAAGAAACGGUAGUUAGCGAAAUAAACUUAUUUACUUAAUGACGCGUACCUGAAAGAAAUAUAGCACCUGGCUAAUUCUAUUCGUUGCCCAGCAGCCCGCCGUUAAUACGUAGGGGUGCUAAGCCGUUAAUCGGAAUUACUGGGCGUUAAAGCGUGCGCAGGCGGUUUGUGGUAAGUCAGAUGUGAAAUCCCCCGGGGCUCAACCUGGGAAUUGCAUUUUGAGACUGCACGGCUAGAGUGUGUCAGAGGGGGGGUAGAAUUCCACGUGUAGCAGUGAAAUGCGUAGAUAUGUGGAGGAAUACCGAUGGCGAAGGCAGCCCCCUGGGAUAACACUGACGCUCAUGCACGAAAGCGUGGGGAGCAAACAGGAUUAGAUACCCUGGUAGUCCACGCCCUAAACGAUGUCUACUAGUUGUCGGGUCUUAAUUGACUUGGUAACGCAGCUAACGCGUGAAGUAGACCGCCCUGGGGAGUACAGGUCGCAAGAUUAAAACUCAAAGGAAUUGACGGGGACGCCGCACAAGCGGUGGAUGAUGUGGAUUAAUUCGAUGCAACGCGAAAAAACCUUACCUACCCUUGACAUGGAUGGAAAUCCCCGAAGAGAUUUUGGGAGUGCUUCGAAAAGAAGAAACCAUCACACAGGUGCUUGCAUGGCUGUCGGUCAGCUCGUGGUCGUGAGAUGGUUGGGAUUAAGUUCCCUGCUAACCGCAGGCGCCAACGCCAAUUGUACAUUAGUUGCUACGAAAGGGCACUCUAAUGAGACUGCCGGUGACAAACCGGAGGAAGGUGGGGAUGACGUCAAGUCCUCAUGGCCCUUAUGGGUAGGGCUUCACACGUCAUACAAUGGUACAUACAGAGGGCCGCCAACCCGCGAGGGGGAGCUAAUCCCAGAAAGUGUAUCGUAGUCCGGAUUGGAGUCUGCAACUCGACUCCAUGAAGUUGGAAUCGCUAGUAAUCGCGGAUCAGCAUGUCGCGGUGAAUACGUUCCCGGGUCUUGUACACACCGCCCGUCACACCAUGGGAGCGGGUUUUACCAGAAGUGGGUAGCCUAACCGCAAGGAGGGCGCUCACCACGGUAGGAUUCGUGACUGGGG
rnacentral:rRNA from 1 species